AAAUAAAAUAAAGGAGGAGCCUGUAACAGCAGAGGCCAGGAGAGGAGGUGGGUAGGCGAAUGAAGUAAAAGAAGAGAUAAGCAUAUAACUCACUCAAACGUAACCACUCUCUCUCUAUCUCAGCCGAGGAUCUAGUGGAGAUGUCGUCGUCGGCGAAGACGGAUUCGAAGAGCCAGGCGUCGAUUCCGCCCUACAUGAAGGCAAUCUCGGGCUCGCUGGGCGGAGUGGUCGAGGCGUGCUGUCUCCAGCCGAUCGACGUCAUCAAGACGCGUCUCCAGCUAGAUCGCGGCGGCGCCUACAAGGGAAUCGCGCACUGCGGCUCCACGGUGGUUCGCACGGAAGGCGUCCGCGCUCUCUGGAAAGGUUUGACGCCGUUCGCCACUCACCUGACGCUCAAGUACACGCUUCGGAUGGGAUCCAACGCCAUGUUCCAGACCGUGUUCAAGGACUCGGAGACGGGCAAGGUGAGCAACCACGGCCGUUUGCUAUCCGGAUUCGGCGCCGGUGUUCUCGAAGCGCUCGCCAUUGUUACACCCUUUGAGGUUACUUCCCCCCUUUUCUUGCUUACUUUACGGGUCAAAUCACAUGGCUUCUCCAGCUUAUUUUAGAUAGUGAUUGGAAUUAAAUAAAAUAGUUUUAUAAUAAUAGUUAGUUGGGAAAAGAUAUUAUUCAUGCGCCAGAUUCACCUUGCUCAUCAAUAAGCCAGCAGCAAUGAGAUUUGUUGAAAUACUCUUCAAUGUGACCAUGCCAUGUACUCUAGAGUUUUCAUUUUCACUCUAAAUCUCCAGGUGGUGAAGAUUAGACUUCAGCAACAGAAAGGAUUGAGUCCCGAGCUUUUCAAGUACAAAGGUCCCAUCCACUGUGCUCGUACCAUCGUCAGAGAAGAAUCCAUUUUGGGUCUAUGGUCUGGUGCUGCACCCACCGUUAUGCGUAACGGCACCAACCAAGCUGUCAUGUUCACUGCCAAAAACUCCUUUGAUGUCCUCUUGUGGAACAAGCACGAAGGCGACGGUCAAGCCUUGCAGCCCUGGCAAUCCAUGAUCUCUGGGUUCUUAGCUGGUACCGCUGGUCCCUUCUGCACCGGACCCUUUGAUGUGGUCAAGACCAGGUUGAUGGCUCAGACCAGAGACGGUGAAGGUGGGCUGAAAUACAAAGGGAUGGUUCACGCCAUUAGGACCAUUUAUGCUGAGGAAGGACUAGUGGCUCUAUGGAGAGGAUUGUUGCCGAGGCUGAUGAGGAUUCCUCCUGGACAAGCCAUCAUGUGGGCUGUUGCUGAUCAGGUCACUGGUCUCUAUGAAAAGAGAUAUCUCCUUAACGCACCUUUAUAGAGAGUGUGAGAGAGACAUUUGGUUCUUUACAAGUUAUGAGUUUUUUGUUGGUUUAUUUUUGUGAGGAAUGGGAAAAUCCAAAUUCAAUUCUCCCCUAGACAUUUUGAUAAUAACGAAACACACUCUUAGGGAUGUGUAUUCAAUUCAGACUAGUUUCAUUUUAAAGGAAGAUUUAUAUGAUUUUAUAUGAAUUGGAAAGUUUGAUAUGAUUUUUGUUAACUAUAUUUGUUCUUCGAAUUUUGAAUUUUUUUUAAAAAAAAUGAAUGCAACAUGUUUUGCAGUGAUUUACUCCUUUUUUUUUCUUUUCAGAAAAAGAAAUAUUUUUUUUUUGAACAAUAAAAAAUAUAUAUUUUAUUGCCAUUUUAUAAUUAAUUAUUAAAGCCACUUUAUAUUUUUCAGUUUUACUAAUUUUACCAAACUCUUCCAUUUUAAUUUUAGUAGUAGUCUGAGACAAUUACUAUUAUAAAUUAAAUACUAUUAUAUGAUACAAUUAUUAAUAUAACAUAUAUAAAUAAACAAAGAAUAUUAUAAUUUGUAAUAAAACACCGAUUAUAUAUAUAUAUAUAUAUAUAUAUAUAUAUAUAUAUAUAUAUAUAUAUAUAUAUAUAUAUAUAUAUAUUUAAGUGAUUUAACUAAGCGUUCCAAAAUAAAAAAAAUGAGCUCAUUUUAUUUUAAAAUUUUCUAAAAUCGAACAUCAAAUUGUUAGAAAUUAAUAUUUUUCAUGUUCUUUGUUAUUAAAAUCUACUUGGAUGAAAUAACAAUACAAAUUUUGGUUCAGUGGGUAUUUUUAUUGUUAUUCUCUUUCGAUAAUACCCACAUGUUUUUUUUUUUUUUUGAAAAAAUGAUACAACAAAGUUACAUGUAAGUUUGUAACACAUGUUUAGCAGUUCACGGGAAAAAGAUAAGAUCUGAUCAUAUAACUAUGUGUUUAAAAAAAAAAGAAAUCAUAUAACAAUAGAUUGUUGGAACCACGGCGACAAAGAUGAGAAAAAUAGUAUUAUUUAAAAGAUCUAAUCGAGUGAGGUAAGGUUUCUGUGAAAAACGAUUAUAAUGAUUCAAUGCUAGUUUUACAGUCUCGUCUUCUGACUGGAUUUCUUAGGUAACAUUACUGGUGUGUGUGCAUUCUGCAGACCUAUAUUGUCACUCAUUCUCAACGUCCAGCUGCUCGAAGGUCCAUUCGAAUGCGGUCAGCGUACAUUGGGAGACGGAUGAUCUCUCUUAUCUCUUGAAGCAACACUUCCUCUGUGAUGUUGUCGUUUAUGCUUUUAAUCACCUAUAUUUUUACACACAAUAACACGAGGAAAUAAAUCAACAUUUUUUCUCUCUUUCUAAAAAUCAGAUAGAUCUGUCUGCUUUAAAACACUGACCUUACGAGCGGUGUUGAUAUCGUUUGGUGUAGUUUUGUCGACUCUGAUACGCAUGCUAACCCAUACUUUCUUCUCCUUAUCCCAUGAACACUCUACAAUCUUCCCAUUGUAGCUUGACGGAUCCGAACCAUCUCUGAACUCAACCGUAUAUCCGUCCAUAAGCUUUUUCUUCCCUCUUUCAAACAAGAAGAGCAUCCUGCGACCUUCAUCCUCCUCGCCCAUCUCGAACAGAAAGUCUACCGAGUUCAUUUCCGCAUACUUCCACUUCAGCAGACCUUUAUGCGUUCGGGGAACGUAAGGAUCGUCCCAGCCCUGUUUUUAUUAGUCCCCAAUAACAUAUGUCAGCUCACGAAAUGCAAUCACUAUGUGUGUAUGUCUGCGUUCAGGAAAAACAGAAACAUCUGAAUAUGGUUACCUGAAAUAUAAGGCCAUCUGCUUCAUGCGAAAGUGACGGAAUGGUACCCUUCAAAAGCUUCUCAACUGUCGAGAGCAAAUAAAAACCCUUCAUCCGUACCUAAGUAACAACAACAAAAAUUAACAACAAAGAAAAUGAAAACAUAUGGCGUGUGGCAGGAAAGGUGACUCACACCAAAAGGCUCCAGGUCAUAUCUGUAGCAAUGAUUCCUUUGCUUAUCAACAUCACGGCCUUUGAUCACCUCGUGCACUACCAUGUUCCAUCUUUCACAGAAUGUCCGCUGGUUCAUUUUUAAGAAUUAACUGUAAGUUAUCUAAAAUACCUUACAGUAAGUAAUAACACGGAUAUCAAAACCCAACGAUGGAAUAAUGAAAGUGCCAACCUCUACGACUGAUUCACCGUUGAUUGCUACCAAGUCAUAUACGAGGUACCUCCUCCUCGCCUGCCCUUUUUCAUUCAUCGGAUUAUCUAUAACCAUUUCUCCAUCAAGCAAAGUGAAAUGAUGUACUUGAUCAGGUAUUCCCUACACCCCAAAACAAAAACAAAAACACGGUAAGGGAAUUCACAAGUUUUAGAUAUUCACACAAUAAGGCCUCUAGGCAAUGACAAAAAAAUUACUCACUCCACUUGAGUGCCUACAGGGGAAACGCAUCUGUACCCUUCGAAACUUAAAGCUCCUAUCUAUCAGAUAGCAACCAUCUAUGGUUAAGAGCAUCAUAUAACGUGUUCCAUCUGCUUUCCAUGUCGCAUAAUAGUAGCGCUGUCUCAAAAGUUGUAAACUCUCCCUGUGCACAAGUAGUAGUAUUUGCAAAAAGAAAAGCUGUUAGAUUCAACGACAUUGAGAGACAAGGACUAAUGAACCCCUAAAAUGAAGAGCAUUAGACUUGCUAAAUCUUCAUUGUAUUCACUACCACAAGGCAGAGUCAUACCUGUCUAAGGAUACAGGGUGUGACCCUGGGAAUUGUGCACAUCCUCUUCCCUGUAUCACAGCAAAAAUUUAAUCCAGAAAAACAAAAUUAGGCGAAAUGAAAUAUUCCAUACGAACAUAUAGCCUAAAAAUAACAGAUAAAACAUUUGAAUUCUACCCCAAUACUCAUCAUAAGCAUCUUAUAACAGAAUUUUCGGUAAGCUUCUUCUUGAUAAUAGGGUAUUUCAUCACCCAAUAUGUCAUCAUUUGACAUCGUCACAAUCUCCUGACUGAUUUCCUGAAACCACAAAAGGCAAACUCAGCAACAAACAAAUGAGAUCAGCAGUUCAGCACAUCUGAAGCUUAUAACUGCAUGCGGGAUAUUGAUUCUAAUCGAAAUUUCUGUGAAUAGGUGUUAAACUUAAGAGCUUAAUAAAUAAUAAGCACCACACGUACUUGGACAGGGCCAGGCUGAGCAUCAUCAUCAUCAUCACCAUCACCGUCAUCUUGAUGAACUGCAUCACCAUUAAGAUCAAGCUCGGUAGACCUCUUCCAUUCAGGAGUUGGUGGGCAAGUAGCAGUCUCAGGCUUUAUUUCGUGAUAAAAAGUGUAUAAAGCAUCAAUAUAAUCCGGUUUAUAAAUCCCAGGUGGGCGGGCAUCAGAAAACAUUUUCAACGCCUGCCACGAAUGCCACACAGAGAGGUAAGAUUCUCCAUUCUAGAAUAAAUGAAUCAAUACAACGCGUGAGGUGAAGAAACUGAACCUGUGUAACGUUCAUGGUGGGCAUAGAGCGCAUAAGAUAAUGAACUAUCAUGAACCCUGUCCGAUUAUGCCCAUGAGUACAGUGGACGAGGAUAUACUUCUUUGGGUGUUUUUGAUUAACGAUGAACUGAAUAGCCUGAGGAUAGUACAAUGUCCUUGAAUAAGCUACUAACACAGUAGAUAAAGGUUGAUUGAAUAGACGAAACAAGUACCUCGUUGACGAAGGAGUUUACAGAGACGUUAUCCGGAACCGCAUCACGACCCCUGCAAGCAAUCUAUAAAAGAAAGAUAAAAGCAAUCCGGUAAAGGAGGUGGUGCAGACGAUACAAACAUGAUUAAAAACAUGAAUUGCAUUCACCUUAACAUGCUUGAUGCCAUCCUUCUUUAAGUCAAGUGUGGAAUAGUAACGAGUUGUAUUAGUUAGAUCAAUCACUAGACCAAGCUGACAUAGAAAAAAGAAAGAAGAGUAUGUUUAGGUCACAGAGGUCAGAGGAGAGUUGCACAUAGCAUAGAAAGAAGUGAAGAGAUUACUUUUCGUCCACUGAUUCUCUGGUUGCGGACGACUUGUUUAAAAGAGUAUCUUUUGCCAGGAGGAACAUGUUCGUUGUAAGAUUCGCUAAGGGGAACCUUAGAAGGAAUGAUGCAUCCUAUCUCCAGACCAAAACCAGGACAAUCCAGCCAACCUAUUUGUCAGCAAAAAGAAGAUCAUACUACAGAAUAUAGAAGAACGUAAAAGGGAACACGAUGUAUGGAGAAAGUUGACCAAUACCUUGAGGGAUCUUGCUUUUAUCAUAGACUCUAGUAUCACUAUUGUUGUUGUGGUGAAACUGGUGGUGAUCAUGGUGAGAGUUUCGGGAAGGCCUGUCAAGUCUCAUCCUUUUGGUUCUUUCUUCACGCUCCUAAAUUUAAACCAAAUACCAAAACUAUAUAAAUAUCAUCCAAAAGCAGCAGCAGUAGCAUCAUAAAGAAAAGAAAGAAGUGGAGAGAAUCAAAUGGUACCCGUCUAGCGAUCUCAACAGCAGACUCUGCUCGGGGUUCAAGGCGUCUCUUAAGAAAAGGAUCCUCCUCUUCCUCGGGCUCCGGUGAAGCAUUUAGGUCCAUCGCAGCAGCAGCAGACAAUCAAAUUGGCAGAAAGCAAUCCAAAAUCGCCAAAUUGGAUUCUCUACAAAGCGUAAAUUGAAUCAGGAUAUAUACACAAAGUCAUCAAAGGUUAAGGAGAUGCGACGAUCCUUUCCGUUUCUAAUGAUUUCAAUUGAAAAUGAGGAAGGCAAACAGAAUCAAGCGGAGAAUCAAUCCAAAUAAUAUCAAUCAGAUGAGAAUCGAAGACGGCGGGAAUAUGGAAAACUGAAAUCAAAACCCUACCGGAGAUAAAGAGAGUCGUCGUCGUCGUCGAUGAAAGAAGGAAGAGAGCAGCAAUCAACAACACUCGCAUUAAUAUAUACUUAAGGGUAAAACCGGUAUGUAAAAGUUGGUAAUAAAAAGCACGGGUAUAUCGGACGGCUGAUAUACGUUGCUGGUGGAAACUCGAUGAUGUAUCUUACGCCACGUGUAAAUAGGUUCCAGGUUAUUUCGUAAUUUCGGUUACACACCUUCUUCUUGCCUAUAAAUAUCUGAAGCUAUGCUCCCGUUGAAUAAAUUUCAGAAAAAACCACCGAAAAUAAAAAUCACAGAGAAAGUAGCCAAGAAGAGAGAAAAUAUUGAAAUAUUUUCUUGGAUCUGCAGAUUUUGCUCACGCAUUCUCCAGAAUCUGGCGAAUUCGUUCUUCGUAUUGACGAAUUUUCGAUGAAUCGUUUAGGUCAGAAAUCGGUGGUCUACCACGGAGAGUUGCGUCUGGGGGAGCUUGAUGUGAAGCAGGUCUCUUCCGCCUCCGGCAACAACGAAUUUCGCUUCCCUAACGACGAGAUUCGAAUCCACCACGUUUCUCCUGCCGGCGAGAGGUGUCCUCCGCUCGCCAUUCUCCAGACUAUCGCUUCUUUCUCCGUUCGAUGCAAGCUCGAGUCCUCCGCUCCGGUCAAACCUCCCGAGUUGAUGCGUCUUCACGCCGUCUGUUUCCAUGAAUUGAAGGUUAGCAUUUUAAAUUGAUUAUUAUAGAUAGUUUCAAUUUUAACAUGAACUUUGAUUUGGUGGUGAUUAUAGACUGCGGUGGUAUUGCUGGGAGAAACGGAGAUUCAUUUAGUGGCGAUGCCGAGCAAGGAGAAGAAGUUCCCUUGUUUCUGGUGUUUCUCACUCCCUUUAGGUCUCUACGAUUCCUGUUUAAGGAUGCUCAACACUCGCUGUCUCUCUAUUGUCUUUGAUCUUGACGAGACUCUCAUUGUUGCCCAUACCAUGAAGUCCUUUGAGGAUCGCAUCGAAGCUCUCAAGGUUUGGAUCUCCCGGGAGGUUGAUCCUGUCAGGAUUCAUGGAAUGUCCGCUGAGCUUAAAAGGUUUAUGGAUGAUAGGAUGCUCCUCAAGCAGUAUAUUGAUAAUGACUAUGCUUUUGAUAACGGUGUUUUGCUCAAGGCUCAGCGUGAGGAGGUCCGCCCUACUUCUGACGGCCUCGAGAAAGUUUAUAGACCUGUCAUUAGAUUGCCUGAAAAGAAUACCGUUCUUACUCGGAUCAAUCCUGAGGUUAGAACAACAUCUUUCUGUGUUGGCCUUACCUUUGUCUGGCAGUUGAUAGGAAGAAGGUCGUUUAACCAUACAUGAGUAAUCUAGUUUUGAUUUUGCUGGAACUUAAUCAAGUUUUUGUCUCCUGUCUGGGGGUUAUUUCUGAUGCAGAUCCGUGACACUAGUGUGCUUGUAAAACUUAGACCAGCGUGGGAGGAGUUAAGGAGCUAUUUGACAGCAAACACUAGGAAACGCUUUGAAGUUUAUGUUUGUACCAUGGCUGAAAGGGACUAUGCUUUGGAAAUGUGGAGAUUACUCGAUCCGGAAGCGCACCUGAUAAGCCUCAAGGAGCUUCGAGAUCGUAUUGUAUGCGUUAAACCAGGUCAAAACUCAUCUCUGGCUUCUUUCAUACCCGUGACUUUGGUUUUAGUACGCAGGUGGGCCAUGCUGCCAUUGGUGGUAGCUUUCUUAAUUUUGUACAUCUCUUUCAUUACUGUUUUUGUGCUGAAUUGUUAGUUUAUACUUUGCCUCUUCUCUCGUGCCUGGUUCGAUUUGCUUACCUCUCAGUUCUAACCUUAUCAUCUUAACCAAAAAUAUAUUCACCUUUUUCUUACUCUUUGCAUAGCAGAUGCCAAGAAAUCGUUGUUAAAUGUCUUCAAAGGUGGCAUAUGCCACCCUAAAAUGGCAAUGGUUAUUGAUGAUCGUGUUAAGGUUUGGGAGGACAAGGAUCAACCACGGGUUCAUGUUGUUCCUGCAUAUCUUCCAUAUUAUGCUCCACAGGCAGAGGCAUGUUGUUGCUCUUGAAUUCUGAUUAUUAAGCUGAGAAUUAAAUACUCUUAUCCUUUCAUUUUUCAUGUGGGUAUCUAACCAAUUUCUUGUGUCCAUUUAUCAGACAGCCCUUCCCGUUCCAAUUCUUUGCGUAGCAAGAAAUGUUGCAUGCAAUGUCAGAGGUUACUUUUUCAAGUAAGUUUUUUUUUUCUUUGUUUAAAGUAAUGAAUUCAUGCUGGUUGUUCUUACGGUUCUGGACAUAUGUGCCAGGGAAUUUGACGAGAGUUUAAUGAGUAGUAUAUCUUUGGUUUACCAUGAAGAUGAUGUGGAAACUUUACCCCCUUCACCGGAUGUGAGCAACUAUGUCAUUAUAGAGGUAAGUUUUAGUUAGAAUUUUAUCCUUAUAGAAUGUACUGCACAGAAACUUGGCCCAAUCUAGCUACAUUUUUCUGCAGGAUCCUGGCUUUGCCUCAAAUGGAAACAUAACUGCUCCUCCAGUUAUCGAAGGAAUGUGUGGGGGUGAAGUGGAACGCAGACUAAACCAAGCGGUCAGUAAAAUAGAUACAAAAUUAGAGAUUUUUUUGUCAGUUAUAAUCUGAUUUUUUGUUGACUUUUCGAUUUCUCGGGAUGAGAAGUCUGCAGCUGAUUCUUCUACUCCUGCAACGAGUAACGCUGAGCAGAAAUCUGAAACCCCCAAGCCGCAGAUAGCAGUUAUACCAAAUAACGCUAGCACAACAACUGCAGCAGCAUUGUUACCUUCUCAUAGUAAGAACUUUUAAUUCGGAUUUUUGAACUUGGAACAGUUAAUAUUUUUGCCUCUGACGUUUUCUAUCUUUUGUGUUCAAUCAAAAUCUAGAACCUAGUUUGCUUGGAGCUCCUAAACGAGAUGGCUUCACUUUUUCUGAUGGUGGAAGACCUCUUAUGAUGAGGCCUGGUGUUGAUAUAAGAAACCAGAACUUCAAUCAGCCUCCUCUUCUGUCUCGAAUUCCUAUGCAACCACCUUCGUCUUCUAUGCAUCCUCAGGGUGGUUGGUUGGUAGAUGACGAGAACCGAGCUCCUUUUCCUGGUCGACCUGCAGGAGGUUAUUCAAAUCAGCUUCCUCAUGGUAUACAAGGUUCUGCUCCUGUCACCAACCCAUCCCACUUGAGGAGCGAAGAGGUAGGUUUAGUAUUCUAUGUAUUUAUCUUUCGACAUCAAAACUAUACUGUCUACGGUCUGAGAGUUUUCUUUGCAGUUAUGUGUGGAUGAUGACCUCAAAAGGCAAAAUGCUUCACGUCAACCAACAGGUAUGGUCCAGUUUCAAAACUAAUGUAAUCAACCUGCAAUUAAUUUGGAUUGUCGGAACACUGAGUUUUUUGUUUCCUCCAUGAAGCUUGUUUUCAGUGUACCUCAUCUUCAGCUACACUAUAGACUGGCUUAGAUAGGAUGAUCACUGGUUUCCCAUCUGAUAUAAUAUAACUGCAAGGAAUCUGUCACAAGUUGAGACUCACAACUACUUUAGGAACGAAGUGCAUCAAUGCCUUUAACAUAUCAUUUGUUUCAAACUGUUUGCAGAAGGGGGAAUCCCCCAGAGUCAACUGGUGUCAAAUGGUGGAGAACAUCAUGCAGAUAGUGGAAAGAGUAAUGGUGGGCAGUCUCACUUAUUUGUGAGUGCACUGCAGGAAAUUGGAAGAAGAUGCGGUUCAAAGGUACAUAUUUUCAUAACCAGCCGAGCUAUUGCUUAUAUUCUUUUCGUCGAAUGGGAAGAACUGAUAUACGAUUUUUACAGGUGGAGUUUAGGACUGUGAUGAGUACCAACAGAGAGUUACAGUUUUCAGUUGAGGUAAUCUGGACACCUUUCGAUCUUUCGUAGUUUGUUAGUUAGUAAGUCCCUUUGUCUAAUUCUAACUUAUUACUCUCUAAAAAAUAAAAAUAUUGUUACUUGAUGUUAAUGAUGCAUAGGUUUUGUUCACGGGGGAGAAGAUUGGCAUUGGGAUGGCAAAAACUAAAAAGGAAGCACAUCAACAAGCGGCUGAGAAUGCUCUUCGGAGCUUGGCUGGUAAAAAUUACCACUGGGUGGAUUUUUCGUCCUUUUUGAACUGUGGAUCUGUCAUAACCAUUUGAUCAAGUCCCGAGAUUGUUAUUUUAAGUCAAAUCUGGUGUUUGUGUUGCUUUUCUGCAGAAAAAUAUGUUGCUUAUGUCUCACCUAUUGCUGGAGAAACAGAGAAAGGUUCCAAAAAUGAAAAUGGGUUUUUGUGGGAAAACAAUGAAGCUGUAGGGAACGAAGGGCUUGAAGAAGAAGAAGCCACCUGAAGAAAACAUUUCUGAGUUGUCAGUUUUCUCUGCAAUGGGGAAAUUUAGGUGAUGGUCUUAACAACAACUACGGAGAAAUAUGUGGGGGAAGAAGAAGUGUAAGUUAAAUAUUCCUUAACCAAAUGGAAAGAGCUAUAUAGAUCAGUGGUUUCUUUCCUUUUUAUCACACUAUUUUCUGUUAAAAAAAGUUCCAAAUAAGGGUGUUAUAUCAUGUUAGAUAUAAUCAUUUCCCCAUAGUAGCAUCUGGUCUUUGCACAAACUAUUUGUAUAGUUGAUUAUAUAAUGCGUCUUUUUUGCUGAUGUUGAACUAAUCUUGUUUUUAAGAGCAGUGUGUGGAGUUGCAAAAGGGAAGCGCUCCAAUGAUAACAUAAUUAGGCAAGAUUGUGCAUAUAAAACUCUGGAGAAAAUAAAAGUUCUCCUAAACGUACGGCGUCGGUAACUGCGAAGGCCUUCCUUGAGAUCACCAAAAGUCUUUAACUAAUAAACCACAUUAUUAAAUUUACAAGCAUUUUGAAUUCCAAAAACUGAGACUCGUAUCGUAUCGUAAAUCAUGGCAAUCCUCAUUAUGCAAGAAAUUGGAAUUUUUUGAAAAAACUAACAAUCAUAUGAUAAUCAUGAUCACUAGUUUGUGACGCCAAAAGAAUACAUGGAGAAUUGGAACGAGUUGCUGUUUCCAUUAUUAUAGAAUUGAAAGACCAAAGUCAGCAACCUGAUGCAUCCUGUGUACUUAGGGGCCGUUUGUUUCACUAUUUGUCAUUUCCAUUCAAAUGAUUCAUUUGUAUGAUCUAUUCAAAUGAUCCAUUCAGAUUUUUGUGAUUGUUUGUUUGUCCAUCCACAUAGCUCAUCUAGAUGAAUCACCUAAAUGGAUCUUAUGUUUGUUUCUUUAUUUUCAUUUCCAUUCAAAUGAGUUUAGCAAACAAAUUACCAAAAUACUCUUAUGUUGAUUUAAUCAUAUGUUUGAUAUUAAUUUUAACUAUAUUAUAUUUAAUUAUUUAAUUUAAUAUAUUUACAUUAGAAUUAUUUCAAAAUUAACGAGUUUUCUUUUUUUGCGGUUUGGGCGGGAAAACAAGAUUUUUCGGUUUUAACGGAAAACAAGAUUAUUCGGUUCUGCGCGGGAAAACGAGAUUUUUUGGUUUUGGCGGGAAAAUACAAAUUUUCAGUUUUGGCGAGAAAACAGGUUUUUGCGGUUUUAUCGGGAAACGCGUUUUUGCGGUUUUGGAGGGAACCACGUUUUUGCGAUUUUGGCGGAAACGCAUUUUUGCAGUUUUGGCUGGAAAACGCGUUUUUGCGGUUUUGGCGGGAAAACGCGUUUUUGCAGUUUUAGCGGGAAACAUGUUUUUGGCGGGAAAACACAUUUUUGCGAUUUUGGUGGGAAAACGCGUUUUUGCUGUUUUGGCGGGAAAACGCGCUUUUGCUGUUUUGGCGGGAAAGCAAGUUUUUGCGGUUUUGGCGAGAAAACGCGUUUUUGCGUUUUUAGUGGGAAAACGCGUUUUUGCGAUUUUGGCGGAAAAUGCGUUUUUUGCGAUUUUGGCGGGAAAACACGUUUUCGGCGGGAACACAUUUUUACGGUUUUCGCGGGAAAACGAGAUUUUUCGGUUUUGGCGAGAAAAUACAAAUUUUCGGUUUUGGCGAGAAAACACGUUUUUGGUUUUGACGGGAAAACACGUUUUUUUGGUUUUGGCGGGAAAGUACGUUUUUGCAAUUUUGGCGGGAAAGUACGUUUUUGCAAUUUUGGCGGGAAAACUCGUUUUGCGACUUUGGCGGAAAAACAUGUUUUUUGUGUUUUGGCGGAAAAUGUAUUUUGGGGUGUUGGCGUGAAAACAUUUUUUUUUGUAAUUUGUGAAUUACAUUAGAGGCAUAAUAGACUUUAUGCCAUUUUGAAUGAACCAUCUCCAUUCAAAUGAUCCAAAUUGGUUCAGCUGAAUGAACUUUAAAAUUAAGCCUAAAUUUCCAAAAGUCAUCCGGAUGAUCCAUUUGAAUGAAUUACACUUUUAGUGCCUAAACAAACAAAACUCUCAUCUUCAUCCGGAUGAUCCAUCCAAAUGGAGAAACAAACAGGCCCUUAAACAUAAACACGCCAUUCUCUUAUUAUCUGUAACUUCUCUAAAACCGUUUUGAUAAUACAUAUAUACAAGAACAAGUUACAGAACACGCUUCCAUCUAUUCUCAGUUCUCAGAGAAACAAAUGCAAAGUUGAACAGAGAAGAAGGUAGCCUAACUUUUUUGGACUGAUCUUGUCUGAAACUAAGAGAGAAUCAUCUUCUUUGAUGCUCUUUUGCCAAUAAAAUGUAAACGCACUCCAAAACUUGAGCAGAGUUUUUUAGAGAAGUCCAAAGUUGCUUAGAAGCUUGUAAAGCUUUCUGCGUCCCCAUUGGAUGUCUUUCUCUAAUAGCACAUGCGGCGUUCCAAGCAACGCCUCUGUCUCUAACCCCUGCUGCUGCUGCUCUUCCUCUGCUGCAUUGUAAUUCAUCUUCUCUUCACCUUUCACUGCUUCUUGCUCUGAUUUCUCAAAUAAUGUAACCGCUUUUAUUUUCUCUUUAUCAUUCCUUUCUCUUUUGAUUCCUUGCUUCUUAUCUACCUGCAUGAAAACAGUUUCUCCAUAUAUUACAUUAAGCAAUAAGGGCAUUUAAGGCCUAAUAUCAUAAUUCUGGAAGAUAAUUCAACGAUCUCAGAGAAGCGCACAUUCGGUAAAAUUUAAUCCAAUACCGUGGAACUAGCUAGAUUCAAAAAAUAGUUUAGGUAACUUUUUAGCAACAGUAUACACUGUAAGGACAGAUUUAUUCUACACUGAAGACAUGUCUCAGAGCAUCAAUCUGCGAAGGUUUCAUCACCAUGCCGCGUGCUCUAAGGGGGCAGGGCAUUUCUAUUCGUUGUGUUGGAAAAGAAGCCUAGGGUAAAGAAAAACAGGAACCAAUGAAACUUCAAACUUUACCUCUGGGAAUGUUUCGGCUUUACCUUCAUUAAUAACUUCAACUGACACUUGAGUUAUGGGUCCACUCACUUCUUCACUGUCCAAGUCAGACGGAGGAAACAAUCCAGGGACCAAAACUGGACUUUCUUCCUCACUAAACAUGGCUUCUUCGAUCACAUUUCCAUCCUGACAAGCAGACAGAGCUCCACUCGAGUUUUCCUCCGGUUCAUCAUCACUUACGUAUCCUUCAUUCUCUACAAUUACUACCGAAGAGAUUUGUUGUACAGCAUCAAGCACUUCAACCUCCUCUUCUGCACCAUUUGAUGAAGCAUCGGUCAGAAGCGUCACGCUUUGAUUGACAUUUUCAGCAACUAAGGGCAUAUCCAAGAUAAAAGAAGACUGCUGCUCCUCCUCUUGAUCGAAUGGCACAAAAUCUUCCUCCCUCAUCAUUUGGAGAUCAGCAUUUUCCCAGUCCUCACAUAUUCUUAUAGUCUUGCUAGUCUCCCAGGUUUCAAUAGCACGGUUUGGACCUGGUUGCCACAAGAUCUCCCCUGUCUGUGCCUUGAGUAUGAACUUGAAUUCAACCAAUCUUCCAACAGGCAGCUCCUAAGUUGUAGUUGUAGAAAAGGAAACCACAUCAUCGGAGUAAGUCUCCUCUUACUGAGAAUGUCAAAAAGCAAGUAGUAGACAUACCAGAUCUAGUGUCCAAACAUGGCCAUCAGACCAGUUCAGAGGUAAGGCAUUUUCAGGAUCCCAAAGACCACCGCCAAAGACGGGAUGGUCACCAAGGAUGAAGAAAUGUUCCCCAAAGACACACUCUUUCCGCAGCUGGAACCUUACACGAACCGUUCUUCCAGGGGCUGCAAAUAUAAUAAAAAAAGUAGAUGAUGAAUCAAUCAAUCCACGAAUGUUGCCAAUAAAACUAGGAAGAAUUAAAAUAGAAACUUACAUGCUUCAGUUUCUGCAUCUUCUUCUUCUAUAUUUGCCUAUACGAAAAUGUACGAAGAAAGCUUCAACGGUUAGCUACAAAAAGAAAAAUACUGAACCAUGGAAGAUGCUGUUACCUUAAUCGAGGAUGAACGAAGCGGACUCGGCUUAAGGAUCCUGCCGUGAACAGAAUCUACUCGCAAAAGCUUGAGGUGAGACGUUUUCCUUGGGAAAAUCUCAGCGCUAGCUCCACCGCGACGGAACAUCUCUGCGGGGAAAGCUUCGAGAAUGAUCUUGGCGGUGGAGGACGAAGAAGAAGAAGAAGAGGUUAGGGUUCCUCCGAUCAUCAUCUUCUUCAGCGACAAGCGAUCCUCUUCGUUUGUCUGAAUUGUGUGUGGAGCGUAAGUAAAGCAUAAUAAGCCCACGUGGCAAUGUCCGUGCAUUUGGAGAAUUCUCUUAAACUCACAUGUCGGUCCUCAUCCUCAUUUAAUUCAUACCGUUAGAUACACGCGAUUGCUUCCCACGUGCUUGUAACGAACGCCUUGGAUUGUGUGUGAAGGUUUACACAGAGGAAGGAAGCUCACGAUCCGAUAAACGCCCAUGGGCCACUUAUUCGCAGGGAAAGGAUUGCUCAUCUGAGUUAGUAAGGCCCAUUCAUUACCCAAUGACUUGGGCUUUGGAACUAAAGACUUUAUCAUUUCUCUGUUUAUUUAUAAUAACCCAUGGCAUUCCUUAUAUUAGUUCGAUUCAGAUAUAUUCAAAGUAAAAAUCAAAAUUUAAAAACAAAACAUAAGACAAGGUCUGGUUCAGAUUUUGGAUUCUAGAUUUUACGUCCAGCCCUGUACAUGCCACAUCCUUGUAGCUUAAAACUUCUGAUUUGCUAAGCCUUUUUUUUUUGUUUUGAAAAAAGGGCUUUCAACCUUUUAUUUUGUUUCUUCAAACAUCUAGCUUCUUGUUUAUUUAGUGCGGUAAUUUGGCGUACUUCAUUUUAUAUGAUUUAGUGCGGUAAUUUGUUGCCCUUGACGAUGUGUUUGAUAGAAAUUAGAAUGCCAAGUUGAGUAGUUUUGAUAUUCGACAUGCAUGUGGGACAGCCAAGUUAAGAGUAAUUUUGCAUGUUGUGUAUAUUAGACAAUGAUAAGAUGCUUAUACGUGAGGCACGAAUAUUCAAUGGAAUCUAUUUCCGAUACCGUAUAUAUCAAGUUUUGUUCCUUUUGUUAUUUCGGCAUUUUCAAAGCAAAUAUUAAAAAGAAAUAUAUAUAUAUAAGGUUGUCUUGGCGUAUUGGUUUGAUUGUAUGUUAUAUAGAUCUUCAAGUAAUUGGACAAUCAAAGUAAUUAGGCUGGCUAAUGAUUUGACAUACGUAACGAACACUUUCGACCACAUAAUAACUAAGUAAAAUGUUUGUCUUACGUUAUUAUAAACUAUAAUCAUCAUCGUUAACGUUUCACGUAUCAAUGAAAAUGUCAAUAAUUAACAAAACAAUCAUAUUUUCUUUAUCAAUUUAUCUGAUAAAAUGAGAAUUGAAGUUGGUGCGCAGGAUCAAUAUAAAUCAGAUUCAGACGUAUGCUUAUAGAUGAUUAAUUUGGUCUCUCAAAAAUAUCAUGGAGUCCGCCAAUUUGUGUGGGGCAUGUGCUUAAAUUAACAAUUCAGUCACCUAAAUAAAAUAUCAAAAUCAAUUCAUGUGACUAAGCCAUAUGUACAGGCCCGGCUCACGAGGGUGGGCAAAGGGGCAUUGGCCUAGGGCCCAAAAGAUUUUUUGCAUAAAUAGUAUUGAAAAGGGGCUCAAUAUUUUAAAAAAAAUUGAAGAUAAAGGCCCGAAAUUUUUAAGUUACCAUAUAAUUAUGUUAAAAUUUUGUUUUUUAACUAUUUUGCCAAGGGCCCAAAAUUCUUUUGAGCCGGGCCUGCAUAUGUAGUGGCUGCUUCCCACAAAACAAUUUGUCUCAUUAGUAAAUAGCAACAUAUCAAAAAAAAGAAAAAAAUAGCAACAUAUCAAUUCAUUGUAAGGCUGUAAUUAAUUUAUAAAAAAAAUAUAUCAAACCGAUGCAAACAAUAUUGUUGUACUAGUAAUCACUAGUUUAAGUGUUUUUUUUUACAUUCUUUUAACAACACCAAAUGUUUUAUAUAAACCGUUCAUUCAGCAUCAUCAAAUUCGAGUCAACAUCAACAAGAUCAAAGAUAAGUAAAAUUAUAUAUACAGAGAGAAAGACUGGUUCUGGAUCCAGAAAAUAGUUUUGCUUAUUAAAAAUAGAGGAAAUAUAUUAAAUAGUCGUGAGUAGACAUCAAAUUGAAGCAUAUGCUAAAAAAACGUUUCCAAGUGAUGCUCUUAUCUGUCUCUGCCUCACAAAGAGGAUAUCCUUUUUAUUUACACAUUCCUCUUCUUCAGAUUCCCUCUCUCUCUAUCUCUAUCACCCACAAAGAAAAUAAAAAUCUGAUUUUUUUUUGCUCCUGACGUUGCUGUUUUAAUCUGUCUUACGACACCCAACAAUUAUUAAUUUAAGGCUCUGUAGAGAAAGGAAUAAAAAAACGAUGAACCUUUCUUCUUCUUCUCUCUCUAUAAAUCUGUCUCCAACUCAUCAUCCUUUUCUUCCUAGCACGACCACAAACACAAACACUUGUUCUUCUUCUUCCUCUGCAACUACUUGUUCCCCCAGGUGUUCUUUCGUUAGCUCCCCUGUUUCCCUCGGUGCUUCGUGCCCCCGGAGAUCAUCACCCGUUAGCUUGAUUCGCAGGAAAAGUCAGAGUUUCUUCGCCGGACUUGAGGUGGUUUCUGCUUCUUCUUCUGGGUCCAGCGGUAUGACUAUUACUGAAGCUAGAGGGGAAGGUGACGAAUCGGAGAUUGAAGCUCCUCUUCUCGAUCCCGAGUCUUACUCAAAGCCCAGGAGAAUUGCUCUUUUUGUUGAGCCUUCUCCAUUCGCGUAAGUGUCCUUGAUCUUCUUUAUUUAGACAGUGAUGUCUUGUCUGUUCUGUGUUCGACGAAAUGUCUGUGUGAAAAUUGGGAUUGUGUGCGCGGAGAUGAUCCUUUCCUUUCUUAGUUGACUUUCCCGUGAUCAUUAGAUGACAACUUUAGAUUCAUACUCUAAGCUGACUUUACUAGUACUAAAUUUAUGUUUUUUUUUUACUAAUUAUAAAUCCUUCUAGUUACUGAAGUCUAAAUAAAAAAAGUAAUCUCCUCUCGAUUUUUGCAGAUAUGUCUCAGGAUACAAAAACAGAUUCCAGAACUUCAUUAGGUAUCUACGUGAAAUGGGAGACGAGGUUUGUUCUCUUUUUCUUCAAACCCAAGUAUAGUUUCAGUGAGUUAACCGAAAAGUGAAAGCUGCUCUCUUUUCUUUUCUUUUUUAAAUUGAUUAAAACUGUUUUGGCUUCAUAGGUUAUAGUCGUGACGACACAUGAAGGUGUUCCCGAAGAGUUCUAUGGAGCCAAAGUCAUUGGAUCUAGAAGGUACCAUCAUUUUUUUUCAGAUAUAUUCCUCAAUGGAAUUUGGUAACAUUGCUAAUUUUCUUGAUCUCUUCUUCUGCAGCUUCCCUUGCCCUUACUACCAGAAGGUUCCCCUCUCGCUUGCGCUUAGUCCUAGAAUUAUCUCCGAGAUUGCUCGCUUUAAGCCUGACAUUAUACACGCUUCUUCUCCUGGGAUUAUGGUAUUAAUAGUCUUUUUUUGAGAAUUCACAUCACUAAUGACUUAAAGCAUUAGCAAAACAGUGAAGUUGCUAAUCCACAAUUGAUUAAUUUUUUUCCAGGUUUUUGGAGCUCUGGCAAUAGCAAAAAUGCUAUCUGUACCAAUAGUAAUGUCUUACCACACGCACGUCCCUGUGUAAGCUACUUAUCUGUCUCCCUUAAGUUGAAUUGUUUUUAGACGUUAUAUGUUUAUAACUCGUGAACUAUCAAAGAUGUUUCUUAAGAUUAAGCUUGUGUUGAUGUGCAGAUACAUUCCAAGAUACACUUUUAGUUGGUUGGUCCAACCAAUGUGGUCAAUUAUCAGUAUGUAAACUCUGUUUUAUCAACCUUUUUUUUUUGUUUUUUCUCUCCGGUUAUUUGUGAAGUAAUAUGCGACUAAACAUGAAUGAUCUUUUUAUCAGGAUUUCUUCACCGAGCGGCUGAUCUUACAUUAGUUCCUUCCGCUGCCAUUGGAAAAGAUCUUAUUGCAGCUGGUGCAACCGCAGGUGAAUGAAUUCAGAUUAAAACACUACACUAUUUAUACAAACAUUCUCUGAUUGUUUAAAUCUAACAUUGUUCCUAUGUAUUCAAUUUUGAAGCUAAUCAACUUCGACUUUGGAAUAAGGGUGUUGAUUCAGAAAGCUUUAAUCCUCGUUUCCGUUCUCAAGAAAUGCGUAUAAGACUGAGGCAAGAAUUCAAUAUUCUUUUUUUUUUUUAUAUAUAUAUAUGGAAUAAGAACAUGGAUUCUUUCCUUGUGCUAAUCUUAAUAAUGCUUUGUAAUUUAACAGUAAUGGUGAGCCAGAAAAGCCUCUAGUGAUCCAUGUAGGACGUAUUGGCGUAGAAAAGAGUUUGGAGCUUCUAAAAAGGUCAGAUUUCUUUUGUAGCUUUACACUGGUCUUCACUCCUUUUAGGUGAGUGGUAGUGUAUCAAAAUGCUAAACUUUUGAAUGGUGCAGUGUAAUGGACAAGUUGCCUGAAGCUCGGAUUGCUUUCAUUGGAGAUGGUCCCUACAGGUACUGGCCCUACUGUUUUGUAAAAUGAGUUUUAAGGCAGCAUUAAUGUAACAUUACUUAUCUAUUUUAUUUUCUUAUUAAAAGAGAGGAUCUUGAGAAGUUGUUCGCCGGAAUGCCAGCGGUUUUCACGGGGAUGUUACAAGGGGAGGAACUCUCACAAGCUUACGCAAGCGGAGAUGUGUUUGUGAUGCCAUCAGAGUCAGAGACGCUUGGCCUUGUGGUUCUUGAGGCCAUGGCUUCAGGUCUUCCCGUUGUUGCGGCUCGAGCUGGUGGAAUCCCUGAUAUCAUCCCUGAAGAACAGGUCAGUUGAUCUUAUACAGAACUAAAAAAAUACAAAUUCAUGAUCUUGCAAUGAUUUAACUUCUGGGACAAACCAAAGUAAGAUUAUUUUAGUUGAGCGAAUGAGUUACUGAUUCUGAUGUGUGUAGGAGGGCAAAACGGGGUUUCUAUUCAACCCUGGAGAUGUGGAAGACUGCGUGACGAAGCUGAGAACUCUAUUGCACGACAAGGAAACAAGAGAAAUCAUAGGAAAGGCGGCAAGAGAAGAGACGGAGAAGUAUGAUUGGAGAGCAGCAACGACCAAGAUACGCAAUGAGCAGUACGGAGCAGCGAUAUGGUUCUGGAGGAAGAAGAAAGCUCAGGUUUUGGGACCAAUCAAUUGGUUGGUUAAACGACUCUUUCCUGUGCCGCCUGAAGUUAACGCCUAGAAGAAGCAAUCAAAGUGGAUCUGGUUGAAAUGUUACUAUCUUUACAUACUUGGUUGGAUUGCUUAUGUGCUUAUGGAAAACUUGGACGUUGUAAAAUGUGUCUGUGUCUAAUGGGUGGGGGGUUUAAAACCUGGUUUGGGCUUUGGCCUUUAGGGUUUGAUAUUUUCAGAUAAACUACUUUGUGUUUUUCAUGUAUUAAAUUUUUUCGUUAUGUAUAAAAAUGCAGGUUGUUUAAUGUUUUCUGUCUUGGUGUUUGGUUAGUAUUUACUAGUAAUGGUUAUCAAGUCGAAAGACCAAGUCAAUGUCUGUGAACAGAUGUAGCAAACAGUUAAAGUUUUGGGUUGAACAAUACGAAUCUUUGCAGAAUUUAAAAUCAAGAUGAACAACCAAUAAUAGUAGUAGCUCUCUCUCGACCGUUCAUGCCUCUCUAUCUUUGGUCUCUUUGAAAUAGGGUUCAAUCAAUCUUCCUUUUACAAGCAAACUCCUAAAAGCAGAGCUCAAAGCAGAGGAUGUCACCAGUGAGGCUCUCAACAGAUUUAAAACCUGGUUUUCAAAGUACCAGAGAAUCACAGUUUUGUCUUAUUAACUAGCCAAAGAAAGAAAAAUGGGUUUUAGUUAUAUAUACCUCUGCAUUGCUGAUGCUAAUGACUUGCACCUCAAGAUCAUCUGCUUGAACCUUCAACUUCUUCAGUAAACUAUGUUUAGACUUUUAGGUGUAACGAUCAGAUCAUCUGAUACUUUGACCCUUUCUUCACAAACCCAUUACCAGAUUCAAAGCCUGGUUUUCAAAGUACCAGAGACAAUCAAUCACAGUUUUGUCUUCCACCCAAAAUGAAUUCUGGAGUCGACAAAAGAACAUGGGCUUAUGAUGGGCUUACCACUUUCAUUGGGCCCUUAGUUCUCAGAAACAAUCAGCCCGUUUUGCGUGAGCUCUGUUCUUCUCCUCAUGUUUUCGGUUGCUCGAAGAGCUAGACUACUAGUCUUCAAACUCUCCGUUGUCUCUCUCUCGACCAGAAGAAAUGGCUGCUCACCGCUUAUUACCUUCAAGAAUCCUCCUUUUCUCCCGCGUUAAAACCCCUCACACCCGACUUAAACCUCACAAAGCCUUGACAACAUCGUCAUUAGCACCAGCACCAGCUCCCGAAUCCGAAACCCCGUCCUCUUCGUGUUCGGAUUCGGAUCCAUACUUGGUGGACAAACUCUGUUUCAGUUUGACGCAAGGUAAUAAUAAUAAUAAUAACAAUGCCGCCGCUUCUCUGCGUAACCACCUGACUCGACUAAACCCUCUCUCCGUCGUCGAGGUUCUCUACCGUUGCCGCAACGACUUAACUCUAGCUCAAAGAUUCAUCUAUCAAUUAGGUUCCCACCUUCCUAAUUUCAAGCACACAUCUUUCUCCCUAAGCGCAAUGAUCCACAUCCUCGUGAGGAGCGGGAGGCUAUCCGAUGCACAGAGCUGUCUCCUCAGAAUGGUUAGGAGAAGCGGCGUCUCCAGAGAAGAGGUCGUGAGCUCAUUGGCUUCGACGUAUACUAACUGCGCCUCCAACGAUUCCGUUUUCGAUUUGUUGAUUAGGACUUAUGUUCAAGCUAGAAAGCUAAGAGAAGCUCACGAGGCUUUCACUCUGCUGAGAAGCAAAGGCUACACUGUCUCUAUAGAUGCGUGUAAUGCUCUCAUAGGAAGCUUGGUGAGGCUCGGGUGGGUAGAGUUGGCUUGGGGAGUUUAUCACGACAUUUCUCGGAGUGGAAUUAAUGUCUACACUCUCAAUAUAAUGGUUAAUGCGUUGUGCAAAGAUGGUCAAAUUGAUAAAGUUGGAGACUUUUUAUCACAAGUGCAAGAGAAGAUGGGGGUUUAUCCUGAUAUCGUUACGUACAACACGUUGAUUAGCGCUUACUCUAGUAAAGGCUUUAUUGAAGAGGCGUUUGAGUUGAUGGACGCUAUGCCGAGUAAAGGGUUUACUCCUGGUGUUUAUACUUAUAACACUGUGAUUAAUGGUCUCUGUAAGCAUCGGAAGUACGAGAGAGCUAAGGAGGUUUUCGCUGAGAUGUUGAGAUCUGGUUUGAGUCCUGACGCUACUACGUAUAGAUCUUUGCUGAUGGAGGCUUGUAAGAAGGGAGAUGCGGUUGAAGUGGAAGAGAUUUUCAGUGAUAUGAGGUGUAGAGAUGUUGUUCCUGAUUUGGUUUGCUUUAGCUCGGUGAUGAGUCUUUUCGCUAGGAGUGGAGAUUUAGACAAGGCGUUAGUGUAUUUCAACUUUCUGAAGGGGGCUGGUUUGGUUCCUGACAACGUGAUCUACACGGUUCUUAUCCAAGGGUAUUGCAAGAAAGGUAUGCUCUCCGAAGCUAUGGAUUUGAGAAACGAAAUGCUUCGGCGUGGUUGUUGUAUGGAUGUUGUUGCAUACAAUACCAUUUUGCACGGCUUAUGCAAACGGAAAAUGCUGGGUGAUGCGGAUAAGCUCUUCAGAGAGAUGACAGAAAGGGGUUUGUUUCCGGACUCUUACACUCUAACCAUACUUAUCGAUGGACACUGUAAGCUCGGGAACCUGCAGAACGCAAUGGAGCUUUUCAAGAAGAUGAAGGAAAAGAGGAUCAGACUCGACGUUGUGACGUACAACACGCUGUUAGAUGGGUUUGGUAAAGUAGGCGAUAUCGAUACAGCGAAAGAGAUAUGGACAGAUAUGGUAUCGAGAGAGAUACUACCGACUCCAGUAUCUUACAGCAUUAUGGUUAACGCGCUGUGCAGCAAAGGCCAUCUCUCUGGAGCAUUUCGAGUUUGGGAUGAGAUGAUGAGUAAAGGUGUUAAGCCAACGGUCAUGAUUUGUAACUCUAUGAUAAAGGGGUAUUGCCGGUCUGGUAAUGCCUCGGAUGGAGAAAGCUUUUUGGACAAGAUGGUCUCUGAAGGUUUUGUGCCGGAUAUCAUCACUUACAACACGUUGAUAUAUGGUUAUGUUAGAGAAGAGAACAUGAGCAGAGCUUUUGGUUUGGUGAAGAAGAUGGAGGGGGAGAAGCAAGGGGGAGGAUUAGUGCCUGAUGUGUUUACGUAUAAUUCGAUUUUACAUGGGUUUUGUAGACAAAAUCAGAUGAAAGAAGCUGAGGCUGUAUUGAGGAAGAUGAUUGAGAGAGGUGUAGAUCCUGACAAGUCAACGUAUACUGCUCUGAUCAAUGGAUUUGUUUCUCAAGAUAACUUAACCGAGGCGUUUCGGUUUCAUGAUGAGAUGUUGCAGAGAGGAUUCUCCCCUGAUGAUCAAUUCUGAUUCAGUAACUGAUGCUCAAUUCCUGUUGUGGUUUACUGCUGCAAGUUGCAACUCACGUAAGCUGAGGAAUGGGACCACUGGAGACAAUACACAUUCCAUUGCUACUCUCCUCUCACUUUCUUCCGAGUCAAGACAUAGAAAUGAGACAGAGUAAGGUGUCUGAACGUGGCAACUGAUUAUAAAUGCAUUUUGUUAAAUCACAAGAAACCAAUUGCUUUCUGUUUCUGGACAAACUCUGACUAUACACUAACGUCUCCUCUUGUUCACAACUGAAAGAAAAAGGACAAACUGCAUUGAAUUUGUUCAAUAAUUCAAGAUCUUAAUUAAUACAUAUUGUAAAUGAUUCUACAUGUGAAAACUUAUCUCACCAAACUUGCCACUAACAAACAAAGAGAAGGACACAAGAAUUUACAAUACAACACACAAAGACUUGCAAAAUUCUAUUAAAAGAAAACACGAAACUACUUCUUGCCUUGUUCAUCAACAACAGCUGCAGCUUUUAUCACGACAAUAUCUGAUUUGUCAUCAGCACGUUCCUCAGGAACCACUGCCAUUGACUGCCUAUUACCGCAUAUUGUCCAAAGGUAUAACGCUAACAUCGCUCCUAGACUUCCACAAACCGCACCCAGAACCAACGCACCAAGCAUUCUCCAAAUACACUUGCUCUUCUUCCCUUUUACUUCCACCGUCUUCACCUCCACCUCCUCCUUAACAGUCUUGGAAACUGCGUUUGGAUCAAGCGGCUGCGAGUGAAUCCUCACCGAGGGAUGUCUCAGCUUGAAACUCCAUGAGUGGAGAUAAUGUGGCUUGGAAGAGUUUCCAUUUGAAGAGGUCAAACCCACCAUGAACUUCUUGUCUUCCCAUAUCUUAGCCAAGUCUACUGAGUAAGACACGAACGGAUCUACAGGCUUUAAGGCAGUAGAACCACUCAAACGAACCUCUACUCUCUUUGAGCUCGCCUCGUAAUCAAUCCAACAAUUCAAUCUCUUCUCUCCGUUGAAAUGGCCAUCAAAAGAUGAUAAGUUUCUAAUUUUAGCAGCUUCAGGUCUACCAACUAAGACCCCAACACGGUUUCCUCUCUUGGAGAUACCAAACUCGACAGCAACAAUCUCUUUAUGCAUUAAGAAACCUAGACCUGAGGAAGCGUUAUCCUUUCUACCAAACAGCCUAAGAUCCAAACCACUUGGAACCAUUACAAAAGCCAGGACACUACCAAACUCUUUGGAGGGCAUGGUGAACGAGAAACUAGUCGAGAAUGAACCUGGAAAGCUUCUCCCUUUAGUAGUAGCUUGGGAGAGUUUGAUGGGUUUCAUGUAAAUGACUCGCCCUUGGCUCCGACUCACUGAGCCAGUCAGCUGAAUCGACGAACCACCACUGACGAGCUUAGAAUCUCCAAACAGAGCAAUAUUCUUGUGAAAGCUCGGAGAUUUCACAAACCCAUCAAAGGAAAACGAGGAAUUUGCAUCUGAAGCAGUCGCCAUAGUUUCGAAGCUGAAAACGAACAGGAAAGCUAGGGUUUUGAAAACCGCCAUAGCUGAAAAAUUGAAAAUGGAAUCUAGAAAGGAGCUCUUUUUUCUUCUUCUUUCUUCAGCUUCCAAUGAAUGGAAUUUCUAGGAUUCGUGAAUGAAUCACAGUUUUCAAGAGUGUAGCGUGUAGAUUUUGGUGAAGAAAUUAAAUAGAAUUUAAAGUCAUCUUCUUCUGGGGGAGAGGGUGAACUUUUGGUUCGCUCUCUUUCACUCUCAGUAGUUGCUGAGUAAGUGAAAUUCAAUUAAUGCUAUCUCUGUACUUGUUACUUCUUACUUCUCUCCCCCAUGUUCUAGAUUGUGACAUUUAGGCCCACUUCUUCUUUCUUUCUUUUAAUAAUCCUUCCAAUAAUCAAAAUUGAUCGGUAACGAUGUAGGAUUACCAAGUGGCUGAGUCUUUAGAAAAAACUAGACAAAAGAAAUUAAUGCUGAUUUAAAGAUCUUAAGAUAGUGGAGAUGAAAUGAUAUUUUACUGUCCACAAACCAAAGAGAAAUAGAAAAUGUGGGGUUUGAGAUAGCAAAGGUGGAGUUGUGUUGGCAAACAAAUAGAUGGAAUCUCAUUUAUCUCUAAUAAAUGUGUUAAUUAGUGGCCAAUCCACUGAUUAUAUUAUUACCCAUACCAAAUUGCUCGUGGCUUCUCUUAAAAUAUGGGCCUAACUAAGUUCAGUAACUUUAUUCGUGGGCCUAGAAAGAGACAAUUAUACUAUUAAUUGGCCAUAACUCUUAUCAAAUAAAGAAUAUAUAUUCCUAACCAGUUUCUUACAGAUUAUAGUCAAGUCCAGUAACAAACAACCAUCUGUGACAACCGGCUUAUUGGGAAAAUGAUAAUCCAUCUGUAACUUGCUCACAACCUUUGUUAGGUGAGGUUUCACUGUACCUUGUGUUGCAAGCGAAGCUUACGUUUUUUUGUUGUUUUAUAGGAAUACAAUGCGAGUAUAGAGUUUUACUGGGCACCGUUUAUUGUGGAAUCGAACACGGAUUUGCCUGUGAUUUUGGAUAUGAAGAAGAGGGUAGUAAAAGUGGAUUCAGUGGAAGAUCGAUCAAAGUAUUGGGAAGGAGCUGAUAUUCUAGUUUUCAACACAUAUGUUUGGUGGAUGAGUGGACUCAGAAUGAAAGCUUUGUGGGGUUCAUUUGGAAAUGGAGAGAGCGGUGCGGAGGCAUUAGACACACCAGUGGCUUACAGGUUAGGGCUCAAGACAUGGGCUAAUUGGGUUGACUCUACCGUUGACUCUAACAAGACCAAAGUCUUCUUCACUACCAUGUCCCCUACUCAUACUAGGUAAGAAAAACAUCUAGUUUUUGGAUUUAUUUAUUUGUUACGGUUACUAUAAAUUAUAAACGUAAAUGCGUAAUGCAAACGCAUGGUUCCAUAUAUAUACACAUGCAAAGAACGAUCUUAGCACACAUAAAACAAUCAAAACGAGCCUGUAUAGUUAUUAUCUAGAGUGUUGUGUAAAACGUGCAGAAGUGCGGAUUGGGGGAAGCCAAACGGGACGAAGUGUUUCAACGAGACAGAGCCAGUAAAAGAUAAGAGGUUUUGGGGAACUGGGUCGAACAAGCAGAUGAUGAAAGUGGUGUCAAGCGUCGUGAAGCACAUGGCCACGCACGUGACUGUCAUUAACAUCACGCAGCUCUCGGAGUACCGCAUCGACGCCCACACAUCGGUCUACACGGAGACUGGGGGAAAGAUGCUAACGGCUGAGCAGAGAGCUGAUCCAAUGCGUAACGCUGAUUGCAUACAUUGGUGCCUCCCUGGAUUGCCCGAUACGUGGAAUCGGAUCCUAUUGGCUCAUUUGUAAACAAAUAAAAAGCUAGGAAACAUGCAUGUACGUACUAAGGAUGGAUGUAACGGGAAAACCCAACUCCUCUCUCUCGCUCUUGUGUUGUCAUCAGUAUUUUUUUUUGAAUAUAUGUGAUUGUAACGUUGUAAACAUAAACAAGAGGUGGAGAAAACUGAAAAGAAAAGGAACAAAAAUUUGUUAUUGCAAGAAAUUUGUUCAUUCCUGUCCUAAAUGAAUUGCAUCAUUGAAAACAAAACAGUUUCAUGUAGCGCUGGGUAAAAUAUCUGGAAAUGAAAAACCUUCCGACCCGAAACCGACUCAAAAAUUAGGGUUUUGAACCCGAUCGGAUCCGGGUAAAUAACCGAAUGGAUCUUAAAUUGAUGUAUCCGAAGAACCGGUAUCCAACCCGAUCCGAACCGAAAACCGAAUGAGUAUCCGAAGAUAUCCGAAAUGUAAAUAUAUAUUUAUUAGUUAUUUUCAAUACUUUUGUGUAGUUUUGGAUAAAAGAUGAUAGUUUGGAAAUAAAUAUUCAAACAAGUAUUUUUGGUUAUUUUUUGACACAUUUGGGUAGUUUGGAUACAAAAUACCCAAAUGGAAUCGAGCCCGUUUUAGAUAUAUUGGUUAUUCGGUUAUUUUCAGGUUUCUUUACAUCAGAACCGAACUUAUUUAGAUCUGGGAAGAUUCGACUCAAACCCGACCCGAAAUUUUGUAAUGUCCGAACCCGAAAAACUCUGAGACCCGAAACGGCCUAGUUUCAUGCAAGUCAACUAACAAAAAGAGGGCCAAGAUAGAUGUAGUCGGCCCAUAUACAAAGCGAUGGGCCAGGAAAGAAGGGGGAUUACAGACCGUUAGAUUGUAUAAGAGAGACAUGUGACCGUCCGAUGGUUUACCCUAAAGGGACAAGUCAUCGCCGUCGUCACGAGUUUAUUAUAUACAUGGACAAAUCUGAAACCUGUGAAUUUAGAGACGUCGCCACGAAUUUCGUUUGAUCUCGAAACUUCCCCAAUCUUCCGUCGUUUGCAUCAUCAGGUCAGGUAUUAAAUUUGCUGAGUUUCUGUCUCCUUGGAUUGAAUUUUUGGUCCAUAAAAAUUGUGGUGAUUUGGGGGUUUUGUUGUGAUAGGAAAGUGAGAGAUAAUAAUGGCGGGAGGAGGAAACUUUAUUGGGAGAGUGAUCUCAUACGUUGCCAACGAGCUCAUUGUUAAUGGUUUGUCUAACAGGUAGCUUUCCUUCUCCAUCUUCUUUUGGGUAUUCUACAUUCAUCAUUUCAAUUUUUUUUUUUUUAAAUUGGAUCCUUAUAAUACAAAAGCUUGCUUCAUUCUCUGGCUGAUUGGAUUAUUAUAAUAAGUUCCUCAUCGGCUCGUUCAUAUUGAAGCUAGAUAGCCUCAACUUACACGCUGGUCUGCUGCGUCGUCAUAUAUCCCAUACGCUGCAGCGUAGGAAGAUUGAAAGAUUCUAUUUUUUUCUUCUUUGUUUUACAUUUGAUUGCGUGAUACUGAUACUGAUGCAUCUUUUAGGUUUCUGCUGGUGAUGAUUUUGUAGGCUUGUUCUGAUCUUAGAUAUGGCAUUACUCUUGUUGAAUCUUAAGACAGCUUCCCCGUUUUAUGAUUUUGUUUGUUUGAUUUGAUCAUUUGGAAUUCUCAGUGGAUCGAUCUUUAAUUGUUUCACCAAAAUUGAUUGUAUAUUUUCGCUCUCUGUUUUGGUAGCCAUGCUUUCCAGAGAUUUGCUGUGAGGACCUCUAAAAGAAUCGAGAACAUCUCUAAAAUGGGUUUGUACUACUUAAACUUUACCUCCUCAAGAAUUUUAUAUGUUUACUCCCUCCCUCGUGUUGACAACUUUUUGGAAUUUGCUUUUUUUUUUUUACAGCUGCAGAGAGCAAGGAGAAAGUGGCUCAGCAUAUGGAGGAACUUUCCAAGAACUCUGAUGUGAGUUUCUUUUCCCUUAAAAACUCUUUGUGUUUUUGAAGGAGACUGUUUAUAACUAAAUGACUGUUGUUACUUUUCAGACUUUCAAGAAGCCGUGAUAAUUCAGUCUUUCGAAGCUGAGGGGUAUUACAUGGAUCACCCUUGAGGGUCUAUUAUGUCUAUAUAUAUAAAAAAAGAAUGCUUGAAUGUAAUAAGCUUGUGGGUUAAACACAAUCUUUUGAGCUUUUUCUCUUCUUUUUCAAAAAAACACAUUCGGCCGGAGUGGAGUUACUUUGCUUUGUGAAAAUAUGUGAAGUCUUUGCUUGUUAUUCUCUAUUCAUUCCAAGUGUCUCCGUUGCUUAGAUUCUUCAUGUUUUGUGCGUUUUAAACGUGUAAUUAUGGUCUCGAUUUGAAGGGAAUUCCCAACUUUACGCGUAAUUGUCAUGACGGGAUAAUUAGAAGUCAGGACUUGGAACGAGAUAUGCUUGUCGUCUUAAUGAAACAAAUGCUUGUAAGAUAUAUGAUUUGUUAUCUUACAAGUCAAUGAAAGUUAGCAGACCAUAAGACGUAAAUGAAAAUGAAAAGUAAGGUGAUUAAGGAAGAGUGAACAAACUUUGGGAAGAGAUUCAGUAGUGGGGUCUUUGAACAUGGUGGAUGAAAGAGAGAUGUUACACAAAAUGAGCCGUGCGUUGAAGUUUAGUUGGCUUCCUUUUUUUACUUAUCUUCUUUUAAUAAUUUUUGUUACGUACUGUAUUAAACAAAAUAUUUUUUAAAAAAAUUCCCUAUUAAAUAGAAGAAAUAUUGGGAGAAUAUUUAUGAGAAGACAGGCAGAGAGAGAGAGAGAGAGUGUCAUUUUCUCUCAUGCUUAUUAAAAUAAAUUAAAAAAGAUACAACAAGAUUCGUUUUGAUGGGUUUCCAAGAAAAGAUUUUGCUAAUUGUGAAUUUAAUUACGGAAGAUAACAAAUAAAAUAAAGGAGGAGCCUGUAACAGCAGAGGCCAGGAGAGGAGGUGGGUAGGCGAAUGAAGUAAAAGAAGAGAUAAGCAUAUAACUCACUCAAACGUAACCACUCUCUCUCUAUCUCAGCCGAGGAUCUAGUGGAGAUGUCGUCGUCGGCGAAGACGGAUUCGAAGAGCCAGGCGUCGAUUCCGCCCUACAUGAAGGCAAUCUCGGGCUCGCUGGGCGGAGUG
rnacentral:lncRNA from 1 species